CAAGGUCUCCGUUGGUGAACCAGCGGAGGGGAUCAUUA
rnacentral:rRNA from 1 species